rnacentral:tRNA from 1 species
UGGGGGAUCGUCUAAUGGCAGGACAUAUGACUCUGGCUCAUAGAAUCGGGGUUCGAAUCCCUGUCCCCCAGCCA